rnacentral:lncRNA from 1 species
UGGGUAGUUCAUCCUUUUGGCUUGGAGUAGGUUCCUCUAUCUUCUCUCAUUCUUCAUCAUCCUUCUUUAAGUUUUCUUCUUCAUUUGGAGGUGGAUCAUUCUUUAGCAUGAGAUUAUCCAUUUUGUUGGUCAAAAUUCUUACAUCUUCAUUUAAAAUAUCUUCUUUUCUAGAAGAUUUGUCAUUAGAUUCAUCAAAAAUUAUAUGGAUAGAUUCUUCAAUAAUAAAUUUUUUUUUGUUGAAGACUCU